UACGAAGGGUGCAAGCGUUACUCGGAAUUACUGGGCGUAAAGCGUGCGUAGGUGGUGAGUUAAGUCUGUCGUGAAAGCCCCGGGCUCAACCUGGGAAUGGCGAUGGAUACUGGCUCGCUAGAGUGCGGUAGAGGAGAGUGGAAUUCCCGGUGUAGCAGUGAAAUGCGUAGAGAUCGGGAGGAACACCAGUGGCGAAGGCGGCUUCCUGGACACCAACUGACGCUGAGACGCGAAAGCGUGGGGAGCAAACAGG
rnacentral:rRNA from 1 species